AUAGAAGAAACUGGUUAUUUUACCAAGGCUUGGACAGGAAUGGCAUGCUUUCUUUAAGAAAUCAAAGUUAACUUAUAGAGCCAAUGAAAGCCCCUUGGGAAGACUGGCCUCAUAUCUUGUCUACACAGUACAUAUACAGGAUUCCUGACCUGUGGUAAAUAAAGAAUGUCACUUUCUGGCAGGCCCAGGAGCUCCAAGUUAUCUCAGGGCCUCAAGAGGAAAGGAAUUUACCCAACGUAUACAGACCAUCAAGCUCCAAAUGAUCCUCAGUGAGGGCUGCUAUCCUCUCAAUAUUCAAGAGUCACUCUUCUACAGGGGUCUCCUAGACUGCCCAUCAGUGAGACAUGAGACAAAACCCUGCCCCUGUCUCCCAUAGACUUGACUAAAUAUCACUUUCACCAACCCAUGGAGCCACCCUACCCUGACAGCUAGCAAGAGGCCAAGACCCACAGAACAACAAUAGAACAACCACCUCCACUCCACUGUCAGCAGGAAGUAGUUACAGAAGACUGACCUUGAUCCAUUUUCACCAAAGAAUUAGGGUCUUGGACUCUUGGGGGGUGGUAAAUGUUACAGUAGGUAGCCAGUCAGACAUGAAGAGAAAAGGAGAGACCCUCCCCCCACCACCACCAGUAAUGCCAGGUGGCCGUCAGAUGAUGGUCAGACAGUUGUUGUCUCUCUAAAAUAAUAACUGGUCUCAGCCAGCACCAG